CCCCUUCUUUUUGGGGGGGGCUGAAACACCCCUGUACCCCCCUGUAGGGUGCUGGGGGCCAUUUGGGACACCCGGACCUGUCCCUUUUUGCCGAGCUGCUCCAGUAACAUGACAUUAAUCAGCUGAGCAGCCCGGGGGGGGCACCAGGAGGGGCAUUUCCCCCCUCCAGCCUUCCAAACAGGCACCGGGGUUGUGCACCGGGGGUUCCCGGUGCCCCCCACUCCCCGUUUCGCCCCCCCUUUUGGCCUUUUUUACGAUCCCCACCCCAAAGCCGGGGCCGGGACGCGCUGUUCCAGCCGGGUUUGUUUGUGCCGCGGAGCUUGGCACCGCCGGGCGCUGCCGGAACAAACCCAGCUCCCUUCCCGCUGCCAAGAAUUCGCUUCCCCCACAAGGACGCGUUCCCUGGGGCCAAGGGAAGGGGUUUUGGGGUUGGGAUUUGCCUCGCCGGGCCCCGGAGCAGCCCCGUCCUGCUGCUUAUGGGGUCAAAGGGGAGGCGGUGAUGGGGUUGGGGCGCGUGGGGUGGAUGCACGUCCCCAAUUCUUUGACGAUUUGGGGCAGAAGUGCGUCAGGGCAGUGGGGACAAGGCGUAACCACAGCUUCCUCCUCCCCUGUCCCCGCCUGACUCUUGGGGUGGUGACUUGGGGACUUGGCAGCGCUUUGGGGUCCCCAAAACCCCGGGGUUCUUGGCGUUGGCAGCUCCUCGGGCUCCUCGCUGCCCCACCUGGAGGAGAAAACCCCAUCCCAGGGGCUCUUGUGGUUUCCUCCCCACACCUUUUAUCCCCCGUGGAGUUUCCCCCAUCCCACGGCCACCUGCAGCGGGGUCGGGCAGGGAUUCCCCCGGCCCUUUUUUGGGGGGGCUGGUGACUUUCCUCGCAGCCCCGUGCCCGGUGUCCCGCUUUCGUCACGUCGCGGUGACACGGCGCCGGGGCUGACGUUGCACCGAGGUGGCCUUUGGACGGGGUGACAGCGGGGCACGGCCUCACCUCCCCAAGGGGGACGCGAUAUGGGGGCGAAUUUUGGCCCCCGUUUGCAGCAUCGUGCCCCCCUUCAGGCAGAAAAUCCCACUGAGGC
rnacentral:lncRNA from 1 species